rnacentral:rRNA from 1 species
UGAGCAAUCUGCCCUUCUCAUCGGAAUAACCAUUGGAAACGAUGGCUAAUGCCGAAUAUGACCUCGGAUCACAUGUUCUGAGGUGGAAAGCUCCGGCGGAGAAGGAUGAGCUCGCGGCCUAUCAGCUUGUUGGUGAGGUAAUGGCUCACCAAGGCAUUGACGGGUAGCCGGCUGAGAGGGUGACCGGCCACACGUGGGACUGAGACACCGGCACGUACCG